AAAAGGAUGUGGGACACACUACAAGAAAAAUGUGUUUUAAUAGCAGACCAGGAUAGCGUUUUUUCGCUUUCUGCUAUGGUUGACAUAUCCGGUAGUUUUAGAUAGCGUUUGUAUUUUUGGAAGCGCUAUGAUAGAGCGGCAUAAUUGAAAACGCUAUGAUAGUAUUCAUUUAAUAGCACAUAAAAUAAUAAACGCUAUAAUAGUGUACCUUUUGAAUCCCUAAACCCUAAACAAACUUCUGAACCAUAUAUAUACUCUAAAAAGCUAAAUUUAAAGACUAAUAUAGUUAUAAUCUUUAUAAUAUUUUAGAAAUUAAACUCCAAAUCUUAAAUAUAGAACUAUAAACUUAAAUAUUUAAAAAUUAAAUCCAAACCCUAUAUCAUACAUAAUCUCUAAAUCUAAAAUCAUAAACUUCAUAUUUGAUAGUUCUAAAAUUUCAAUACUAAACCAUACACGUUAAAACUAAAAUAUAUUUAUUAUAUCUAUACUCACAGAAUUUCAACACAAAACCUUAACCUUUUUUUUUUAUCGAAAUUCUGAAAGUACUUAUAAAAAUAUAAUCUUUUCAAAUUUAAUUUUCAAACCUUAAAUCUAACCUUAGAACUCUAUCACAUAGACCUUUGCUCUAAAAUCUUAUACUUUAAAUCUGAAAUUCAAUAGUUCUUCAUUAACUUUAUAAACGUAAAUGAUAAUUUAGGUUAUAUAUUAAUAAAAUUAGUUACACAACAAAACAGUUUUUGAUUUGUUAAUCUUUGACCGUUGAUUGGUUUUAAUCCAAUGGUUAUAACUCAUUCUUUUGUUAAUCCUUUCUCAUUUUUUUUCUAAUUGAUCAGUUAAUAAAACAAAGAGAAAAAUUUCUCAUUGGUGAAAACAGGAUGGUGAGGAUAGCUUCUAUAUUCGAUCCCCACCGUAGAUUUAACUCGAUCUAAGGGGCAUAAGUGAUUCACUUUAAUAUUUUUCUUUUCUUUUUGCAAUCUCUCGUCUCCUCUUCUCUCGCAAUCUCUCGUCUCCUCCUCUCUCACCACCAUCUCUUCAACCUUCUUGCUCAGGAUAACUUAUCUGAAAUCCUCCUCUCUCAUCAUCUCAUAUCCUGCAAUCAUCUUCUCCCAUCAAUCCUCCUCUCUCAUCACCUAUUCAAUCCUCAUCUCACGAUCUCUCAAACUUGCUGUCUGUCGUCACGGAUUUAAGCUCACCACCUCUGCUCAAGUCUGGAAACCAUGACCCCUCACCUCCUCCCCUUGAUCUGGAAUAAUGAUGACAUAGAGGAGGUAAUGAUGAUCCAUAGACAGAGGCGGCGGCCGACGCACAAAGAGGUUGAAGACGGCGGGGAGUUAUGAAGACGACGGGUGAUGCACAAAAAGAGGCCUACGAAGUCAGAAUGGAAGAGGAAGAGUAAGCUAGCUGUAGUGAUGGAGGUAGAUUCAAGCAAGAAGAGAAGAAGAAGAAGAGAGGCGGAGAAGGAACGUAGACUAGGUUUUAGUUUUAGGUUUAGCUUUUCAAUUUUUCUUUAAAAAAUUGGUUUAGUUUGGUUUACUUUCAUGUAUCGGUAUAAAAAAAUUGAUAUAUAAAUUUUUUUUAAAAAAAAUUUUAAUUUUUUUUUAUUUUUUAAUAAUGUAAUAAUAACAAAACUUAUAUGCUAUUAAAGAAUAUUUAAUUGCAGAUA